rnacentral:rRNA from 1 species
UACGUGGGGUGCGAGCGUUAAUCGGAAUUACUGGGCGUAAAGGGCUCGUAGGCGGCCAACUAAGUCAGACGUGAAAUCCCUCGGCUUAACCGGGGAACUGCAUCUGAUACUGGAUGGCUUGAGAUUGGGAGAGGGAUGCGGAAUUCCAGGUGUAGCGGUGAAAUGCGUAGAUAUCUGGAGGAACACCGGUGGCGAAGGCGGCAUUCUGGACCGAAACUGACGCUGAGGCGCGAAAGCCAGGGGAGCAAACGGG